rnacentral:lncRNA from 1 species
CAGCACUGCGUUUGCUCUCUCACUGGGUUCUGGGUUUUUCGCAGCUGGUGAAACUGUGCCACCACCUCAACCCCGUUUUGUUCAUGGAUCAGAGCCUUUUAAAGGCUUAAAACCAUGAUAAGCUAGGAAACAUAGUCUCGCAGCACCCCCAAGACCUCCCUGGACCCUUAGAUCACAACCGGCAGCACCUCGGGCUGUUGGAUCGUGAUUCGAUUUACGAGAUAGCCC